GAUGAACGCUGGCGGCGUGCUUAACACAUGCAAGUCGAACGGAAACGCCCAAACUUGCUUGGGUACUCGAUUGGCGAACGGGUGAGUAACACGUAGGUGUCCUGCCCUGCUCUUCGGGAUAAGCCUGGGUAGGUGAGCCUAAUCUCGUACAGGACACUGGUUUCGAUGCCAUUCUGGAAAUCUUCUGCGGUGUGGGAUGUGCUCGGGGCGUUUCAGCUUUGUCGUGGGGGAAUGGCCUACCACGGCCUCGACGGGUAGCCGGCCUGAGAGGGUGUACGGCAACAUUGGGACUCAGAUACGGGGCAGACUCGGACGAGAGGCAGCAGUGGGGAAUAUUGCACAAUAGGCGCAAGGCUGAUGCAGAGACGCCGCGUGGGGGGUGAAGGCCUUCGGGUGGUAAACACCUGUCGCUAGUGACGAAGCGGUUUUGUGACGGUACCUGGAGAAGAAGCCCCGGCUAAAUACGUG
rnacentral:rRNA from 1 species